GUGCCUAUAGCUCAAUGGAUAGAGCAUCUGUUUCUUAGGCAGAAAGUCAUAGGUUCAAUCCCUACCUGGCGUG
rfam:Glycine max cultivar Williams 82 chromosome 10, whole genome shotgun sequence.